GGGGUUGUGGCUCAGAAGUAGAUCACUUGCCUGCCAUGCAUGAGGUCCUGGGUUCAAUCCUCAGCACCA
rnacentral:tRNA from 1 species